UAUGGCCACAUCACGUUUAAACACUGGCUCCUAUAUGAUCACUGAAGUUAAGCAAUGUUGAGCCUCAUCAGUACCUAGAUGGGUGACCACUUGGGAAUACCUGGUGAUGUAA